UACAGAGGAUGCAAGCGUUAUCCAGAAUGAUUGGGCGUAAAGCGUCUGUAGGUGGCUUUUUAAGUCCGCCGUCAAAUCCCAGGGCUCAACUCUGGACAGGCGGUGGAAACUACCAAGCUGGAGUACGGUAGGGGCAGAGGGAAUUCCCAGUGUAGCGGUGAAAUGCGUAGAGAUUGGGAAGAACACCGGUGGCGAAAGCGCUCUGCUGGGCCGCAACUGACACUAAUGGACGAAAGCUAGGGGAGCGAAUGGG
rnacentral:rRNA from 1 species